CUACGGGAGGCAGCAGUGGGGAAUCUUAGACAAUGGGGGCAACCCUGAUCUAGCCAUGCCGCGUGAGUGAUGAAGGCCCUAGGGUUGUAAAGCUCUUUCGCCAGGGAUGAUAAUGACAGUACCUGGUAAAGAAACCCCGGCUAACUCCGUGCCAGCAGCCGCGGUAAUACGGAGGGAGUUAGCGUUGUUCGGAAUUACUGGGCGUAAAGCGCACGUAGGCGGAUUAGUCAGUCAGAGGUGAAAUCCCAGGGCUCAACCCUGGAACUGCCUUUGAUACUGCUAGUCUUGAGUUCGAGAGAGGUGAGUGGAAUUCCGAGUGUAGAGGUGAAAUUCGUAGAUAUUCGGAGGAACACCAGUGGCGAAGGCGGCUCACUGGCUCGAUACUGACGCUGAGGUGCGAAAGUGUGGGGAGCAAACAGGAUUAGAUACCCUGGUAGUCCACACCGUAAACGAUGAAUGCCAGACGUCGGGCAGUAUACUGUUCGGUGUCACACCUAACGGAUUAAGCAUUCCGCCUGGGGAGUACGGUCGCAAGAUUAAAACUCAAAGGA
rnacentral:rRNA from 1 species